GGCGCUAAUACCGCAUACGUCCUGAGGGAGAAAGUGGGGGAUCUUCGGACCUCACGCUAUCAGAUGAGCCUAGGUCGGAUUAGCUAGUUGGUGGGGUAAAGGCCUACCAAGGCGACGAUCCGUAACUGGUCUGAGAGGAUGAUCAGUCACACUGGAACUGAGACACGGUCCAGACUCCUACGGGAGGCAGCAGUGGGGAAUAUUGGACAAUGGGCGAAAGCCUGAUCCAGCCAUGCCGCGUGUGUGAAGAAGGUCUUCGGAUUGUAAAGCACUUUAAGUUGGGAGGAAGGGCAGUAAGUUAAUACCUUGCUGUUUUGACGUUACCAACAGAAUAAGCACCGGCUAACUUCGUGCCAGCAGCCGCGGUAAUACGAAGGGUGCAAGCGUUAAUCGGAAUUACUGGGCGUAAAGCGCGCGUAGGUGGUUCAGCAAGUUGGAUGUGAAAUCCCCGGGCUCAACCUGGGAACUGCAUCCAAAACUACUGAGCUAGAGUACGGUAGAGGGUGGUGGAAUUUCCUGUGUAGCGGUGAAAUGCGUAGAUAUAGGAAGGAACACCAGUGGCGAAGGCGACCAC
rnacentral:rRNA from 1 species